rnacentral:rRNA from 1 species
UCCUACGGGGCGCAGCAGUGGGGAAUAUUGCGCAAUGGGCGAAAGCCUGACGCAGCAACGCCGCGUGGGGGAUGAAGGUUCUCGGAUUGUAAACCCCUUUCGAUCGGAACGAAUCCCCUCCUGGUAAAUAAUCAGGAGGAUCGACGGUACCGAGAGAAGAAGCCACGGCUAACUCUGUGCCAGCAGCCGCGGUAAGACAGAGGUGGCUAGCGUUGUUCGGAUUUAUUGGGCGUAAAGCGCACGCAGGCGGUUUGGUAAGUCAGAGGUGAAAGCCCACGGCUUAACCGUGGCAUUGCCUUUGAUACUGCCUUUCUUGAGUAGAGUAGGGGGAAGCGGAAUUCCGAGUGUAGAGGUGAAAUUCGUAGAUAUUCGGAGGAACACCGGUGGCGAAGGCGGCUUCCUGGACUCUAACUGACGCUCAUGUGCGAAAGCGUGGGGAGCAAACAGGAUUAGAUACCCGCGUAGUCCC